GUGGGGAAUAUUGGACAAUUGGGGGAACCCUGAUCCAGCCAUGCCGCGUGUGUGAAGAAGGCCUUUUGGUUGUAAAGCACUUUAAGCGAGGAGGAGGCUACCGAGAUUAAUACUCUUGGAUAGUGGACGUUACUCGCAGAAUAAGCACCGGCUAACUCUGUGCCAGCAGCCGCGGUAAUACAGAGGGUGCAAGCGUUAAUCGGAUUUACUGGGCGUAAAGCGCGCGUAGGUGGCCAAUUAAGUCAAAUGUGAAAUCCCCGAGCUUAACUUGGGAAUUGCAUUCGAUACUGGUUGGCUAGAGUAUGGGAGAGGAUGGUAGAAUUCCAGGUGUAGCGGUGAAAUGCGUAGAGAUCUGGAGGAAUACCGAUGGCGAAGGCAGCCAUCUGGCCUAAUACUGACACUGAGGUGCGAAAGCAUGGGGAGCAAACAGGAUUAGAUACCCCGGUAGUCC
rnacentral:rRNA from 1 species